UCUUCCUUUAGUUCCAUCUCUUGCUCCUCUCUAGCAGCAUUGGUACUGUCUGUAUUUCCACUACCAGAAGUGCUUGUGUUUUAAUUCCUGCUCUGAACUGUGAAAGAGGGAUAGCCAAAAGUACUCUCCACAGCUGUGUUGAGCCAGGGUUGGUAUGGAUCUUAAGAGGCACAACCUUUCUGGCUACAUCUACAGGAGGUAAAGACAUGGAUCAUGGACUGUUCUCUGGCAGGGAGUUCAACUGAAUGGACCUAUAGGAGUUGUCCUAUAGGACCAAUGGCUAUGCUAACCUCCACCCAGCCAACAGCACUCUUUGCUAUCUGAUGACCGCUUUCAAGAGAAGGACGAGAUCACUUUCACCACCUUGUGUUAUACCUCAGGCACUGUCUGCAGAACGAGGACCAGGGGCACCAAACCACGCUGUAGUGUUACCUAAGAUCCAUGGAUACAGACAAGUUCCCAGAGUUGAUGGAUGAGUCUCUACCCUCUGAAGCUUCAGGGAAACCUCAUUUUCUCCGCUAAUUCUUCAACGAGAACAGAGUGUUUCAUCCAGAAUGAAUGGCAAAUUGCAAGUUACAAUGCAGUGGAAGAAAAGCCAUAAUGGAAGUUCAGAUCAUGACCUUCUACUUCAAGAGAACAAAGUCAAGGAGGAAUAAGAUCGUCUCCUACAGAAAGAAAGACUUCGAAGGUUUUCCUGCAGUCUACAUCAGUAGCAAUCAGAUUCUAUUAAUGUGGGAGUGAGGUUUGUGACUUGGCCAUUGAAAAAGCUCAGAAGUCUUCCAGAUGCAGGAAUCAGCUUUGGAAAUCUACUAAGCUAUUUCUUAACAAUGGGAAGCCUCAGCCCUGCGAAUAUACCCAGAAGCAUGCAUGGAGAAUUAGAAGUCAGAAGUGCAGAAGGACAUUGGCUGGCAUGGAGAUACUCUGCCAGAGAAGCAGAGAGCGUGGUAACCACGUGCUAUGGGGCACACACAGGAUGAUCGGAAGCUGUGGUCUUGUUCCUCAUCUAAAGGACAGUCCAUAACAGAGGGCAUCUGGGGCUCCCCUUGCCCAUAUCAUGGGCCUUCUCCUACCUUCUCGUGUAGCUUCCACGUACAGAGCUUGCUCCCUUUGAAACUGAUCUGCUGAUAAUCCGCGCACCAGCUUCUGUGCAUGCUGAUCCCCAGAAGUGUUAUCUUCCUCUGUAUUGUGUAAUGCUGCUGCAUUGGGAUGGGAGGAGGCAGCUGGGGGGUCACCUACGCAGUGGGAGAUGUGGGUGCAGAAUCAUAUGGGCUGCCCUCUAGGGCAGGAGACGGGCUCCUGGGGUGCAGAGACAGAUGGGGUCUGCAGGAAGCACCAAUCACUCUACGCUGAGGUGAGAUUUGUUUGGUGUUGGUUUAUUACUGCGUAAGGUUGACUGUGGUAGUGCCUUAGGGCCAUGUGCUCAGUGAGAAGGCAGGGCUCAGAGGGAGAACAGUAGAUGCUGCCUGCCCUGAAGAGCUUCCCGUGUUAAUGCUCUAAUGCAAAGAACGACACAGCUGGGCCUUUUUUAAUGCUCGGUGAGGAAGGGGAGACCAUCUCUCACUGCAACCUGCUUGCCUCACGCAAAAGACAACAGGAGGGAGGUGCUCUCCUCUUAAAAGUUUGUUUCAGUCUCACUUUUUGAAAGCGCAGGUCGCUGCAAAGUCCCACUAUCAUAUGCCAUCUGCUUGUUACAAAUGUGCAGGUGAAAUUAUUGGUGCUUCAGCCUUGUUUCUGUGAUGCAAAUGUAUGUAUGUGCCAAUUAUUUAUUUUGUUUUUGAACAGACAUAUUUAAUUGUCUCCUAUCCUUCCAUGCUUCAUACAUUGAGCGUCUUCCUGGGAUGUCAGUUCUUUGGAUAAGAGUCAUGUGCCUGCACCACACUGCUCUUGCGUGUGUUUAGAUGUAAAUUACCACGCUGUCAGGGAGAAAACCUAGGGAGGGCAAUUGUCAGGUUCCAUGUGGUGCAAAUGUGUUUUCUGUUGAAACAGGAUAAAUGCAAUGGCUGAUAUCGUGGAAUUUUCCUGCUUUUUGUAGUCCAUAACGGAGCACAGAGUAGUGUCCCUUGGUCCACUAUUUCCAGACUUGAUGGCCAGGCAGGCUUAUGGAUUUGCCCUGCUGCAUAGGCUAGAGUCUUUUACCCAUACAUCCUAUCAAAGCCCUUUUCUAGACAGUGAUUUUAAAAUCAUCAGUCACUUCAGCCGUGUGCAGCAUCAGAUUAGAGCCGAGAGGAGCAGACUUCAAGUCUUCCCUCUGCUGUGAUCACUUGAAGUGUUGUUCCUCUUCCAAACUUCAGGUGCGUAGUGCAAGUUAUUUUGAUUCUGUCUUUAUGCCUGCACCUGCAAGGGGCAUUUUUUCCCUAUUGUUAGAGACCCAUAUUAGGGUAAGUAAGUUGGACAUGACACUCUGCUUGUUAUAGAGGGAGAUUGAAUCAGAAGUUUAGAUUAGAUUGCUGACUUUUAUAAUGCUGAAGGUGACAAACCAGUGAACACUGGAUAAUAACAAAAAGUCUGGAAGGAUCGUUCUGCUAGGCUAAUGGAGGAAGAUCUCAAUCAGAGCCCUAAAAAUGCUUCUUUAAUGGAAACAGUAACUGAUCACAGUGGGGUUAUUCCUGAUUUAUGCCAGUGUAAGAGAAGGACUAGUUCUCAGGUUUCCUUUAGCUAGAUAAUUUUUCAAGCUAGAUAAUUUUUCUCAAGGCACAUUCAUACCAAUUUGGAGCUGAGUGCUUUACUCAUUUGGAUGAAGUAUACAUUUAUUUUUAACCAGUAAUCGUUAAAAAUAAACUUUUCAGCAGUGAGCAGGCUGGGACGGACAGAUGACUCACAUGUGCUACUGGGAAUGGGAUGAAUCAGCAACACCGUUUGAUUUGUAGUGCAGUCCCUGUUCAAGCAGCUGUGUCUGCAGAGACUGAACAUGUUCCAUCUCACAGCUCUUUGCAGUUCUAUCCCCUGCAUGACUGGCAAACAGUGGUGGGGCUGGUUGCAUUGUGAGGAGAGAUUGGAGCUGACUAGAAGCUCCUGUACAGUUGGUUUUGCUUCUUUGGAGGGUCUCCAGGUACUCCUGGGAAGCAGCUGAGAAAAUUGAUUCUCUCUUUCCCUGUGAAAGGGUUGCAAGGGACGGGAUCAAAUACAUGCUCUCCAAGGCAAGGAGAAGCUUCUUAUCCAGUCUAGCUCAUUGUGAUCUUGCAGAAGGACUUAUGCAGUCCAGCUCUGGAAGUAUUUCUAGCCCAUGGUAGUAACAUUUGCUUCUCAGGGCAAACUGACAUGGCCCAGCAAGAGCUGGGUUAGAGGCUCAUGCUUAGCUUUAGGGUGAAACAAUGUGUUAUGUGGCACCACAUAAAGCUUUACAGAGCAUCUUGGGAGCUGUAAACACAUACUUGGGCUAAGUAGCAGGGCUAAUCCCUUGGGUAUAGACGGUACUGGUAUGUCCAUCCCACAUGAAGGUCUGGGACUUGCCUGGGUGGCACCAGCUCAGGGAUCUCAGCACUGCACCAGCACAGUGUCAACCUAUCCAGCCCCGUGAUAAAACUGGUGAAGGUGCGAGGGCUUGACUGCUGAUCUGAGCUGUGUUUGGUGGUGGCUACAAGAUCAAAUGAUAGAAUGCACAUGUUCUCUGCUAAUCCACCUGCACGUUAUCUGAAGCCAGCUGUACCUCUGCUUGGCCGUUGUAAAUGAGGAUUGCCUUUUCACCUCCCAGCAUUUCCCAGGCAUUUCCAGGAAACAAAACAUUCCAAGAAAAGGUGUGUCCACAGUCACAGAGUUAUUAUUGAACUAUUAAAGCUAUAUUGAGUCUACAGAUAUACAUAUUUAUGUCCUUCUUUUAGCCCAACUUUAUAUUUUUCAGGCCUUAAAGCUGCAGGUAAUUUUUUAUAUUUGUUAUUGAGAGCAGAUGGGCCCAAUUCCGAUCAUAUUCUACUGAAGAAAGUCAGGGCUGCAAGAGGUCAAAUGGUGAAUGCUUUUCAAUCUCCAUUAUUAUUUCCUCUACUGAAUUGCCCCAGCAGGUAGACUACAGUCGUUAAUAGAGACCUUCAAAAUAUUUAAAUCAAAACCUUCCUUGCACUCUCUUGGCUGCUUUCUUCCACUCUAGAAAACCACUCUGGCUACAUUGUCACCUCAGCCUUCACCUGAGAUCUGUGCUUUUGUCCUAACCUGCCAACUGUGGAUGAUGGGGAGAUAGUAAGUCUACUUAUGGUGCCGUCCAGCUCAGAAAUAAAGCCCUGUUGGGGAAUGUGUGACAAGGUGGGCCAUAAUGAGUUUCUAACUGAAACAAAACCCAGGCAUGGAAUGAAGCUCAAAAACACUUCCAGUUUGGAAAGGAGACGAUAGGAUGCUCUGUCCAUUUGAGAGAAUACCAAUGCCCUGGGUUCAGAUGCCAGCUCCUGCCAUGGGCCUUCUCUGGGGCUGCGGAGGUUCCUGAGGCAGUUGUUCAAGGAAGAGGUUAAGAAGCCUUGGCUACUGAAAGAUGGAGUCCCACCUUCAGGCACCUUCUUUUGUCAGUACAAGCAUUUGCACAGAUGUACAUCAAACUGGAAUGGGCGAACCAGUGCAAAAUCCCUUUCUAACCAUCCUCUGAAUCCCUUCCUAGCUAUUUUGCAGCUGGAUCACCAGUGGAGUCUACCACAAACCUUUACAAACCUGGGCAGGUAAAAGUUUUUGUGUUGUUUCUAAAUCCAUUCAAGAGAUAUUGAGAAAAAUAUCCUGAUUUUCUGAUUAAAAAAUAACAAAUGGAAAUUUUUGAUCCAUUCACCUGAAAAGUCUUUCACUGUGUGGAAGAGCUAGUAUUGAAGGGUGAGAGCUGCCUUUACAGUGUCUCAAGGAAUCCCUUUGAAUCCCAACUAUAUGGAUCUCUGGAGUUGCAGCCAGGACUCCAAAUUUUUACAGAAGACCUAUUCUGAGAGGGGGCAAUUCAAUGUUAGAGCAAUGGCCAUCCACGCCAGCGGUGAUGCCAGAGGAGAACUCUUCUGGCACCGGGAAGUCAUAAAUAGGAGUUCCACAAAUGCAUAAAUUAAUUUGAAGGCAACACCACUACUCCACUGAGUACUACGCCAUUUCUUUCAUGCUUUCAGUGUCACAGGCCUUUUUUGCAUUUUGAUGGAUUGAACGAUGGAAGAGAAACAUAUGCUUUCCAGAUUUGAAUCCAAAGAGCUCACUAAUUCAGAGUCCAUGCUCCUUCAAGCUGCAGCCAAGCAGAGAAUAAAUUGCUUAGUAUUUGUCAUCCACUUGGGAUUAAUUAUUGAGUUUUAGAGGUGGACUGAAUUUGCUAUCAUCACGAAAAUGAGACAUUUAAUAGAUCUUUUGAAGCAUAUUAGCUAUUUAUUUUCGCUAUAUUUAAAACUUUAAGAAGAUUCCCUGGAGGAAAUUGCAAAUGAAGUCAGCAAAAGUGUAGCCAUAUACUGAAGUUGGUGAAGCUCUGCUGAUCCAAGGAUCUGACCCAAUUAACAGAGAAGAGCCCUCAGCCAGCCCUACGCAGGAUUUAAAAAAAAAGAGAGAAAAAAAAAAAAAAAAAAACAUAACAAACUCCCCUCCUGUUUUACUCUUGCAAUUCUACCUCCAGGUUUAAUUUUUCUCCCUCACUAGCUGUGCUCUAGAAGGCAUGAGGCUUGCAAUCACAUCUUUUUUAAUACUUUCUUGAAAAUAAUUGAAUUGCCUAUUUUAGUUUGCACUUGCUCUUUUCUACUAGCAUUGCGUUGUAUGCGAGGUGAGAUAAAUAAGACACUGGACAAUAAGCACUAUUCACUUGUGACAACUUGUCAGAUGUGGUCUCAUUUGCCUACCCUACUUCCUAUAGCACUUACGCCCAGAAAACCAAUGUAUUCACAGUUUGUAGGAGUUUGGAGAGAUGCAUCAAGAGUCUUACAAAACACCGCUCAGCAUAUCGUUGCCUCUAUUAAGGAGCAAAGAAGAGGGUAGUUUUAGAUUGUGUUGCGCUCUCUCUCUCUUUGAAAAGACCCAAAUAGUUAUGUCAGUCAUUGCUUCUCUCCUCCCUCUUCCCCUGAAGUUCUUUAUCAGAGCUUGCAAAUAAAACUACUGUAAGUCAAGUGAUCUCUGAACUGCUCGAUCUGCAGAGGAAUCUGCAGCGGACCUGCUGCAGAAGAGAAACACUUUCUUUACCUGCUGUAAUAACAAAAUUACACAUAUUAAUUUUUGAUUUUCUGCAAUACAAUUUCAGGCUUUAUUGCCAUCAUGUUAUGAGAUAGAAUUGGGGUGUCUGUAACAUCAGAUACGGUAAGCUAUUUUUCUCUGUGAAGCAGCAUUCGGUAUUCAGCCACCAUGCCACAAUUCUCUGUUGACUGAGCCCAAGCCUGGAUGACCAAUUCCUAAAUCAGCUUCACAGAUAUAAACCGUUACUUUCCAUUGCAAAGAAGGUUUUCUGUUGUUCCGAAGAGGCAGGAAGCUACAGUUUUCUGACUAUUGUGCAUCACUUAUUAGAGAGCUUUUAUUUGUUGUGCCAGCUGUCAAUACCGAACUACCUGAUUUUGUAUUUAUUAGAUACGUAACUCACUUCCCACGGUUAUGUUAACAGAGUGGAUAUCUUUAAGGAUUUAUUUAUCUUCUGUAUGUGAUCAAAGGGUGCAACUUUAGUGAAGGAGAGGAGGCGAGAAAAGUUUUGAUGUUUCUGAGUUCCUGAGUGCUAACUGUGAGCUCAAGGACCAAUUAUUUUCCUAUUAUCCCGUCUCUACAUUAGAAGUAAUAUUUACUGAAGGCAAAUAAGUUGCCUCAAGCUUAUAUUAGUGGAAAUAAUAUUAAAAUGUCGUGCAUGCUACUGACUUCCUCACCACGAUGAAUGUGGGCACAUAAUUGAAUACAGUCUGAUUUUUCAGUGAGCCAGUUCAACUGGAAAUACACGUACUCUUGGUUCAUCUGGGCUCACUGUGGGGGAGAAUAUGCUGGCUUAAAUAUCAGCUACAUCAGACAGUCUUGAAGUAGUACCUCCUAUCCCUUGACUGAGGCAGGGUAACAGCACUAAUGAAAUAUGUUGCACUAGCUCAGGUGAGGAGUGACAUCUGCUAAAUUUCCAAAAGUUUUCACUUGAUUUUGUUCACAUGCCAAAAAAAAUACUGAAGCAAGAAUUAGGUUUUCAGUCUUGGCUUUAUAAAGUGAAAAAGAUAAAUCUUUGAUAAUAAUCAGUUUCUUGAGGAACAUUUAGCAGAGAAACUACAGCAGACAUGAGUGAAAGGCUACAAGUUGGGAGAUAUAUUUCUAAUUGCUACAGAUGAAGUUUAAAGUGUUGUCAAGGAAAAGCAAGGUUGUUCCCAAUAUCAGGGUUAAAUAUCAUUUAAAAGAUUACAGAAUGAUUUUGGGCCUCAGCGACAAAAAUUAAUCUUUUUUUUUUUGUAGGAGUAAAUUUCAUAUAUCAUUUUUGUAGUAAGAUUUGCUCUCUAGAAAGAGUUUUACCUCAUGAGCAGCAGAGUGUAUAACUGUAAGUUAGGGAGCUGCCAGCAAUUAGUCACCAGAAGAUAAAAGGUGUGGAAGCUGUUUAUCCAGGGAGAUAAAACUCUAUUCCAUCUCACAGAGGAUAGAGGCAGUCUGGAAAGGCAUGACAGAGAGACUGUGAAGGAGCUCAGAUCUGUUUCCAGUUAGUUAAAGAAGAGUCCAUCACCUUAUCCAUUUAUAGAUUAUCUGUUUAUCAAGUUUCACUAACAUUGGAUUUUGCCUCGACUUUUUGCAGAGAAUCUCCUAUUGGAUCCCUUACAUAUUAGUUUAAGAAGCCUACAUUUAUGGGGAGCCUGUUUCUUAACAAACUGUGCUUUCACACUGUUUUCAUAUUGCUUGAGUAUUCUCCAGACAUGGAAUAAAUGUCAUGAGAAAGUUGUCAGCUACAGCCAUGAGAGAAGUCCUCAUGAUCUUUGAACAGCUGGCUUACUUUACUGAAAAUGCAGUUGGGGAUUUCCAUAGGAAGGAAAAGGGUAUGUUCAUGCUUAGGCAUACAGACUUCGACAUCUUCCAAAGGCAGGGUCAGUCAUCACACAAUAUGACCAUAAAUAGCACAAUAGGGUUCAGAAGCUGAAGGACAAGGUGAAUAAAAAAAUACUAGCAAACCCUCAUGUUUGGUGUGCUAAAAAACCUAUUUCUAAGAUAGGUAAUUUUUCAAGGGGUAGCUCAGCUGCUGCUUCUACAUCCUCAGAAAAGCAUGCAGAGAUGUUAGCAGAAAUGCACAACCACAUCUGUGCAAGGAAUUAAUCAUGUGGGGGUUCAUGUGUCCAAACUGGACAUCCGAAGUAAGCUCGUAUGCGAUAAUGUGAACAUGAGCAGAUGACUUCUGGGUUCAGUUUCCAUUUGAUUUACAAUGGGAUUUCCCCCAGCUUUUGUCUUUGAAUAGGAACAUAAUGCCUUUCUUACUGGCUCAACCUUGCAGUUUCUUCAGACCAACAUGCUGAGUUUGAUGAGCAUCAGAGGCUUCAAGACGAGUGAAUGGAGUACAGGUGCAAGGUACCAGGAUCGAAGCUGCGCAGGUACGGACUAGCAGGAUGGCCUCAUGUCGGUUGUGUGCAGUGUCCAUAGCUCCGCCACAAACCAAACUCUGGGCUCAGAUGUGAUUAAGAAAUGAGAAGACUUGCUUUUAAAUCAGAGCACCAAGUGCUGCUAAUGUAAAAUGAAAGUAGGAAUGAAAAGAAACAAGCCACGGGAAAAAAUAUAUAUUUUGAAAACUAGUACGUUGAAAUAUAAGGACCUCGUUUGAAAGGCAAAGCACGCCCCAUGCCUGCGAGAGUCAAGGGAAGGUGAGAGGCCAGGAAUUUCACAGCACCUUUUGCCAGGGAAGCACGAGUAGCUCUGUGGUGCCGUUCCCAUUGUUCUCCAUGGUGUGCUAAGCACUGCAGGAUGUAUGGAGAAUUUUGGGCAGAGCGUAUCCCUGACCUUAGGCUGACCCUACCAAGAAAUCAGCUACAAGUGUGAUCCAGGAAAUGGUUAAAUAACCUGACUGACAAUCAGAACCAAGCUCAAUGAGUCUUUCCUUCUUUUAAAGAAGCAGAUGAUCUCCUUUACUGGCAUUUGAUUACCAAGUGGACAGAUUUCACAAGGACUCAGAUCUCAGUCUUUACACCCUUGAGACCAAAAUGCUUCCUUCGAGGAUGUGCCCUUGCCCCAUUGGGAUGCUUGUUGCUUCCAAACAGUGAUACUGAUGAAACGGCUUCUGAUAGCUAAUGACUUUUCUGAUAAAGAAACAACACCUUUGAAAUAUUGAGUUUAAUGGCAGGUGAAUAGAUGGAGUCACCACUUGGUUUUGAUCUGACAGAGGUAUUUAUGGACAGUACUGGGUGAAAGUUAAGCUGACAUUUUUAUGCCCAUCUCCUUGGGCAGAUGCUUGGUGGGACUGGAUGUCCAGUUGUUCUUAUUUUCUUCCAGCAUCAUCUACAACAGAAUGAAACAUUAAACACGGACACUGAAACCACUGGAAAUUGCACAGUCUGUCUUCUAAAGGCCUGGAGGACGUUCAGAAUUAUACACCCACUGACUCCUGUUAUGCUGAUUAUUGCUGUGAUAUUGCUUAGCUGCCAGCACCUAGGUGGCACAUCCCCUGAAUAUGGUACCACCCAUUGUCACCACAGAAUCUGUUUGCUCUCAGCUGGCACUCACUGUAGACUCAUGCGAUGCAUGGAUGAAUAAAAGGCAUUUUUCUGAAGUAGACACUUGAAACUGAUUGUCUGUGCUAGAUGCAAGCCUUUGUUUUGUUUUUUAUUUUUUUCCCUCCACAAGUGUGUGAGAACACUGUUAAAAAAAAGCCUUCUUAAAAAAGUCAGAAAAUAAUUUUGUCAUUCAUGUUUCUGUUUUAGUUUAAUGUAUUUGAUGUUCCUAUUAGUUCCACUUGGAGAGAGAAAAAUGCUUUCAUUCUGUAUUAGUUGAUUGUUUCCAUCAGUUUCCCUUCCCCCUCCUCCCCAUUUUUCACACCUCCUACUGUGUAUGAACGCCUGCUGCACCAUUUAUUUUUGCAAUGUGUAAACUGUUACUUCCUCCGACAAAUCAGAUCUGCUUAGGGUGAAAUUAAAGAUCUGAAGAGGUGACUGUCCUGCUGGUUUUGACGUUUUAAGAUUCUAGUGCUAUGCAAGAAGCAGCUGCCCUUUUCUGCCUAUAGAUAUUUAUUAAAUCUCCAAAGGACUUAUGAAAUCAGAAAUGAAUUAUUUUGGCAUAAAAAGAAAAAGAGAGGAGUCUAUUCCAGGAAAUACACAUUGCACUUCUUGUGAGAUGAGAUCUGGCAAGUAACAGGGUGAGAAAUAAUUAGCCUUUUUGGUGCCUCCAAGCAGUGGGCAGGAGUGCCUGGGACUUAGAUUUUAGUACCAAGGUUAAAAGUCACAGCACAAACUGAGUUAAAACUGACAGAUUUGUGUUCCUAAGGCAGAAAUUGGAGUGUGGCCUCCUUAUGCAGAUCUGGGGCCCCAUUCUGCAAAUAUCUAUUCAUGCGAGUUAGCGAUACAUCGCAGAGUAGAGCCGUCAGCCUCAAUGAGAAGGAAUUUGCGUGUGCGCAGGGGUUUGUAGGACUGAGUCUGUGCAUUGAUGCUAAAAAAGAAGGGAUGAUGCUACACUGCAGAUUGGUGUAUCAGCAAUGAACAGGUUGUGACUUCUGGGAUAGAAGCUGAUGUGCAUGUCCAGAGGUUGAUUCAAUGCAACACGCCCAUUUUAGGAUGGGGCAAGCCGUGCCACUGGCGCUCUGGAUGUACCACUGGAUGCAAAAGCAUUCAAGGCUGCCAGGUUGGAGAAGCUGUUGUAGAAGACUAAAGAUCCGAAUCCUUUCCCUAUGAGAAGUUCUUGGCUGGCACAGGAAGCACAGAAAGAAAGAUCUUUUUUAUAGAGAUAACUAUAUCUCAAAGUAGGCUUGUGACUUUUCACUCAAACUCUGUUUUUGCCCUUUCAGGCAAAAAUGUUCAUAAUUAUUUCUGGAACUACUGGCCACUGAAAGAAAAAGAGCCAUUCCCUUGACAGAACUCAGGCCAAAUACACACCGUAAUCACUGAAAUGUUGUCCUCAUCCGGCUUCCUGCUCUCCUAGCACACUGUGGUCUGUUCCAGCUGGGUUUUUUUUUUCUCAGCUCAUUCUGUAUCUGUAUAGAGGGCCUAGGUCUAGGAAAGCAACCUGAUCUGCUCACAAGGAGGUGGAAGAUAGGACUGCCAGCAAGUAAAACUGGGGAACACUCCCAAUCCAAGGUCUGAGCCCUAAAUACCCACUCAAUUUUUAGCAUCUCGCACCAAUAGGCUAGCUACAGAACCAUUCCUACCCUUUAUUCAAAUUUAUUCACUCUUUCUUCACUGCGAUAGGUAUAUCUUACAACAGCAUUGACUAUGGCUUAGCCUCACUGGAUGACAUAAAUGUAAAAACAACUGGAUUCACUUGUAGGGAUCAAUUCAAUGCUCUAUUGCAUCUUUGAAAACCUUAUUAUACCAGUCUCUCUUAUCACUAUGGUUACUGCACAUCUUCUGGUUGUGUAUUAAAUGACGUGAUUAACA